rnacentral:rRNA from 1 species
GACGGAGGAUGCAAGUGUUAUCCGGAAUCACUGGGCGUAAAGCGUCUGUAGGUGGUUUAAAAAGUCUGCUGUUAAAAAUUGAAGCUUAACUUCAAAGGUGCCGUAGAAACUUUUAAACUAGAGUAUGAUAGGGGUAGAGGGAAUUUCCAGUGGAGCGGUGAAAUGUGUAGAUAUUGGAAAGACCACCGAUGGCGAAGGCACUCUACUGGGCCAUUACUGACACUGAGAGACGAAAGCUAGGGGAGCAAAUGGG